GUCAUCAUACACGAGAUCUGAAACCACACGAGAAGGGGACGACGUGUUGAAUCUUAGACUACGCCAGGCAAUGAAAAGAGAGCAGGGGAGGGGAGAAAAAAACUGCGUCUCUUACAGUUACCCCCUUCCCCUUUGAAUUCUUCUCUAACCUCAGCCCUUUGUAUUAUAUCGUGUUAUAAGACAGGCUGCAAUCUCUCUGGCCUCAUCCAGUUCGUAGGUUGUUUAUUGUUUGUUUGUUUAUGGAUAAAGUCAACCAUUGAAUCAACUUGGGCCUGGUUAAGGUGUGCGGUGGCUUCGACUGGAACACGGGUUCAAGUACCCUCGCCUCAAUUGUUUCAGAUUAUAGGAUUCUUUACAACGGCUAAUGGUGUGUCCCACCAACUAGUCCAUAAGUCAGUGUGUGGGUCUGAGUGCACUAAGAUUCUACCACCGACCUCCACCAGUCCCUUCUCUCAUGACCCUCAUCCUGUUAGUCACUUCAAAAACCCACCCUCUAAAUGGCUACUUCUGUUUGUAGCGGAGAAGAUCGGAGGACACAAUUAGCCCGAGUUAAUUAUCUACGCCUGUGUGUGAUUCUGUGUUAUUCAAGGAGCUAUCUUAAGAGUGUCUGCCCAUGGCUCAUUUCCCGGAAAGAUACAAUCAACUGCACGGCUACAGCCACAGCUAGCAAGGGAUAAAGGUGAAAGACUUCUUCAGAUCUGGAAUCAUUGAUACCCUUAUUGACGCAAGGCGCCCAUGCACAAAGCAGGCUUUCCAGUAGGCUCUAUUAAUAGGAGCUUCUUUGUAAACGAUGCUAAAACGAGGCUCUGAAACAGUUAGUCCACCAAAAUAACAUCGCCAAGGACAAGGAGACAGGGAUGAUUUCCUGUCUUCAAAGAGCCGAAACCUAAAGCACCCUAAACCCUAAACAAAAUGAAAGAUUGGUGCUUCACCGACGCCCCUUCCCGAAGUUCUCCCAUCAACUAAGUGAUCAUUUAAUCACAUCAAUUUUGUAGAAGCACUGCACUUUUGAGUGAAAGUUUGGAGGCUUAGCUCCAAGAAGGUGUCCAAUGUAUUCCUACAUUGUACAUCCACAUACUUUCUUGGGAAACAUCAUGGCUGAUAAAACUGGCAUUGGAAAGUCUUCCCUACCAAGUGCAAUGCAUUAAGUACUGACGCAGCUCAAGGAAGACUUGCCUACUGAUUGCAUGUGACGGACGUUUCACGUGGGCGCCACGAUAAAGUUGGCUAUGAAUAAUUAUCUAUUUCUACUUAAGGUCUUAGACCCCAAUCCAGAAUUCAGCGGUAGAGAUUACUAAUAUUUCCAUUUGAAAGAGAUUGGAUGAUAUCUUUGCUUUAAGCUUUAGAAGAAAUAAAACCCAAACAAAAGAGAACAAUAGAAAAACAAAACUGCUUACUCGAUCAGAUUUAAAGUAAAAAGUUGGUCAACCAACAUUUUUUUUUGCAUAUAUUAUGAUGAAUUUAAAUUUUUACUUUUAUAAUAAUAUAAUAAUAAUAAUAAUCUUUAUUGUCUGUAAGGAAUUUUGUCUUACAAUUUGUGCAUUACACCAAACAAAACAUUGUAACUAUAAAAAAAAUUUACAUUCACACCCGACCCGUUCAUAAUUUACAUGUUAAAAGUUUAAAUCAGAUGUUUCUAUUUAAUGAUUUGAUUGCCAGGGGAUCAAAAGAGUGUUUGUGUUUGUUUGUCUUUGCUAUCGGUGUCUUGUAUCUCUUUUGUGAUGGUAAAAUCACAAAAUCCUGACCCAAAGGUUGAUUUUUUAUUUCUAGAAUCUUAAUCAUUACUAAAUCUUGCAUCCGUGUCUGCAUUGUGUAAGGUAGUCUUGAUAAAAUUAUUUAUUAUUUUAUAUUAUUAUAUACUAUAAAAUAGAUCUCUGCAAACUAUGGCACUAUGGAAAUUAAAACUCCAUAACUUGCACAUUACAUAGGUUAGAAAGAUAAAACUUAUUUUCAAUUGAGAAGAGCGCACCUACAAUAAGAAAAUGCGCCUGUGUCCUUCAGUUGAAUGAAACAAGGGACAUCACUGCAUUCCACGGGCCAUUGGCACUCAAGUAGCGCACACACUCACUUUAGCAUGAUCUCACAUGCACACAGACGCAUCUUCAAAAGUACACAUAUACACACUACAUUCACACAUACACAUGUCUACAUCAUGUUGAACAGGAGAGUAGCAGUAGAUAUGAAAGCUAGACUAUUUUGUUUUUUUAAGUUUUACAUUGGUUUUGUAAGUCGUCUGCAGCGAAUGCCUCACAAGGGAAAUAAUCCAGCAGUAAACGUUUUCCUAAAUCCUAGCAGACAGGUUGUAGGCCUUGUUAAACAAUAACCAAAAGAAAGAAAAAAAUUCUCCUCUUGGACUGUAAUUAGUUGCAAACGUUUGUCCGAUAAGUCAGUGUCACCGUGGUCAGUGUCACAUUUUUUCUUCUCAACAGACAACGUGACAGAUGUAGACAUGUAGCCUCCCCCUGAAAAGUCACGUUGAGUCACGAGACAUUUUAACCCUUCCUCUUAAAUAUGUUUUCUUAUUGCUGUUAACUCCACCUUCUCUAUCUCUCUCCCGCUCUCCCUCUCUCCUCUCUCUCUCUCACUCAUGCACAGACACACAAAAAUUUACUUAUGUACAAUUUCACUUGAUCUAGUUAAAUUAAUACCCAGAAUGUUUUCCAGCGUUGAUGGUUUAUAUUUGUGUUGAAUUUUGUUUGACAUUAUGUUGGGACGUGUGGCCGAGUGAUCGAAAUCGAUUGUCUUCUUAAGUGAGAGGAACGAGUUCCAGUCCAAGUGUAGACUAUAGACUUAUAUUUUGAGACUUAGGCCUACUAGAGGUAGCAUUGAAGCCUUCCCACACAAAUCUCCUUCCCAACCUUGAGAUAUUCUUAAACGAGAUAUAAAAAAAAAUAUGUGUACUUUUUAAAAAAAUAUAUUUUGCAAAUUUUUGUUGAAAUUGUUAGUUCAUUUUAACAUUUGAAUAAUUUUUUUUUUCUUUUUUUCUUUCUAUAUUUUCUAAAUAUCAACAGCAUUUCUUCCUACUUCUAUGUAGUCACAUCUGGUUUAUGUCCAUAAUUUCUGCAUUAAUACUGUACAGAAUAGGACUAGUUUAAGUCUCUAAUGUCUGCAUAUUAUAUCAUAAAUGCAUUUUCUAACGUGCCUCACAAGGGAAAUGAUCCAGCAGUGGACGUUAUCAAAACAUGCAGACGGAUUGUGGGCCUUGUUAAACAAUAACCAAAGAAAAAAAAAAUCAAUCAUGGUGUAUCUACAUAGUAUCCACAUAACAAUUGUUUCUAUUUACUGUUCACACAGUAAUGGUUUUAUAUUUUAUAUAUUUUUGUGAAUAACUGUUUUAAACUAAUAUCAUUAUAUUAAUGAUGCCAAGUCCGGAUUUACCCAUUGGCAUUACACGAUUUAGCUUAAUGGCUCCCAAUAAAUAUUUAGCACUGAACUUAUUAUAUUUUUACUUAAUACAAAGUGCCCCAAGGUAUAUUUCAAAUAGCUUAGGACCUUAGGACUAUGUAAGUCUAAAUG